CCGCUGAACUCUGGAGAGUGGUGCUUGAGCACCCGCCGAAGGGAUAACGAUCUCAGGCGAAAGGACAGAGGGGGCAUC
rnacentral:ncRNA from 2 species